UACGUAGGGUGCGAGCGUUGUCCGGAAUUAUUGGGCGUAAAGAGCUUGUAGGCGGUCUGUCGCGUCUGCUGUGAAAACCCGCGGCUCAACUGCGGGCCUACAGCCGAUACGGGCAGGCUAGAGUUCGGUAGGGGAGACUGGAAUUCCUGGUGUAGCGGUGAAAUGCGCAGAUAUCAGGAGGAACACCGGUGGCGAAGGCGGGUCUCUGGGCCGAUACUGACGCUGAGGAGCGAAAGCGUGGGGAGCGAACAGG
rnacentral:rRNA from 1 species